GUGAUGAAGUCCAGGUGAGUCUGAUGAGUCGCUGGUGCGCGAAACGAUGGUGACAGGUGUGCGUAGUAAUGAGCAGCCUGGUGACCUAGAGCGUCGGAGAGGGAAUAUACGUGACACCAGGGACUAUUAAAAUGUACAUUACAGCCUGCUGUAACUUCAGCACUUUAGAUUACUGUAUUGUCAAUGAUGGUGCUGUUAGUUCAAUGUAAUCUCUGUCCAGGUUAGCUCAAGGUCUAGGCCUGUCCUGAGCCAAACUGAAGAUGUGAAUGGAUAAUCUCUCUGGCACCACUAUGAUGGGUUGGGGCAGAAGAGUCCUACUCUCAUGGAUUAGUCUGAGCCUGUUUGAGUUUCCAUACAGUCAAAGGGUACAGAGAGCCUCAUCCAGCUUCAUACUAGAUAUGGUCAGCUGGAGGACAGACUUGUCAGAGUGAGAGAGAGCCAGUGGAAGGUGGCUGCCUACCUGGGGAUCCCCUGAGCCCCCUUGUCGGGCCGCUGAAGUUCCAGGUCCCCCAGCCUCCCCGGGUGUGGCAGGGACUGAGAGCCGCCAAGGCUUACCCACCUCUGUAUGAGCCUAAGCAGUAAUGUCUCAGACAGACAGGGAGACAAACAGCCUAUACUGUUUAAUGGGGAACUCUGAAUCAUGUGUAUUUUGAUUAACAUUCAGCCAUUCAUGUUUGUAUUGAUAGUGUAAGAAAAUGUCACCUUUCUUGUCCUCCUAACACAUAGGUGUCUGCAGAACAUGAACCACACUAGACAGAUGGGGGACCUGUACGGAGGUCGGUUCCCUGUCCUAACCACCUCAGAGGACUCCCUUUAUCUGAAUAUCUACACACCAGUCAAACCUGGGGACCCAAGGAAACUACCAGUGAGGAGAGACAUGAGAAUGUACUCAUAUCUACCUUAAGAGUAGACAAACAUGUCUUUGGUUUGGUGGUCCUCAUGGGAGGGGCUUCACUCUGUGAUGGCUCCUCAUUGGCUGCCUUCGGGGACAUUGGUGGUCAUCCUCCAAUACUGUUUGUGUAUCCCAGGGUUCCUCAGGUACACUUCCAUAUGUACGGCAUUUGGUCAAUAUGAUCAAUGCACAAAUUCAGGUCAGUAAUAUCUUCUCUUGUUUGGUGUCUACUGAACACAACCCUGGCAUAUCUGAUCUAAUAUCUGUGUGACCAGCACUGGAGAUGGCCAGUACCCCGGAACGUGGGUGUUCUGGACCAGGUGUGUGCCCUGCGCUGGGUGCAUGAGACCAUCAGCAGUUUCAGGGGAGACCCAGGAUCUGUCACCAUUUUUAGAGUCUGCUGGUGGUGUUGCUGUCUUUUUUUGCGUGUGUGUACUGUGCAUCUAGGAAAACAGAUAUUUGCUGAUACAGAAAGAUGCACUGGCUGUCUGUAUGUAGGCAGGCUUACUUUGGGCACUGAGCCAUGGUUCUGUCUGUCAUCAGGACUGUUCCACAAGGCCAUCAGUCAGAGUGGAGAACCCCUCGUCUCUAUGUUCAUCCAGGAUGACCCCAAACCUGCUGCACAGCUGGUGGCACAGAGAGCAGGCUGUCUCAGUGAUGACUCUGCAGAGCUCAUGACCUGCCUCAGUGCCCUCAGCCCACAGGACAGAGAGGUGGCUACACCUGCACUGGGAUGGGACAGUCAUCCCUACCAACCCGGAGGAAGUCCUGCAGACUAAGAGCUUCUUGGGCUUCCCCAGCAUCCUAGGGAUCAACAACCAUGAGUAUGGCUGGAUGCUCCCACAUGUAUGUCCCUGCAUGAAGAUAUGAAAACUGUCAUAUAAUUUACAGCGUCUGCCACACUCUGCCCUGGGGAUCAUCGUAGAGGAGUACUUUGGUGACAUGAAGGACCCCGUGGGGAUCAGAUGCCUUGGAGCUUAUGGGAGAUCUACUGAUUGUGGUCCCAGGGGGUGUAGAGUAACCCUAAUGGAGAGAGUGUGUUUGAUUGGCCGACACUCACUACAGAUCCAGGCCAACCUCGGGCUGGGCAGUGUCUCAGAGAAGAAGAGAGCCCAGUUCUUGAGAGAAGAUUUCCCUAAAGGACUGCUGGACACAAAGACGCACAGAGUGACCAGUAGAACUGAAUGUUCACUAUGUCAAAUGUUGUUCUAGGAGUGUCCAUAUUGUUGCCCUCCACUCCAGUCUGCUAUUAGGUUACAGUAUAUGAGGCUUUCUUUGCCUUUUCCUUAUUUUGUGUCAUUUUGGCCAUUUUAAUAUUCCAGAUUUUCUUUAAUGGUUUGAUUUAAAAAAUAUAUAUAUAUUUUAUUUAGCAAUUGUUUAACAUUUAUGUAGUUUAUUUUUAUCUUGCUGUGUUCAUAUGUCCAUUAAAGCCAUAAAAUAAUUAA